ACAAUUAUAAUUUAAAUAAAAUAUUUGACUUCCAAUCAUAAAAAGUAGAUAUAAAUCUACUAAUUGUA
rnacentral:tRNA from 1 species